AGAGUUUGAUCCUGGCUCAGGAUGAACGCUGGCGGCGUGCCUAAUACAUGCAAGUCGAGCGGCAGCACGGUCUUCGGACUGGUAGCGAGCGGCGGACGGCUGAGUAACGCGUAGGAAUAUACCCCAAAGUGAGGGAUAACUGCCCGAAAGGGUGGCUAAUACCGCAUGUGGUCUUCGGACUAAAGCCUUCGGGCGCUUUGGGAAUAGCCUGCGUAAGAUUAACUAGUUGGUGAGGUAAUGGCUCACCAAGGCGACGAUCUUUAGCUGGUCUGAGAGGAUGACCAGCCAGACUGGAACUGAGACACGGUCCAGACUCCUACGGGAGGCAGCAGUAGGGAAUUUUCCACAAUGGGCGAAAGCCUGAUGGAGCAACGCCGCGUGCAGGAUGAAGGCCCUCGGGUCGUAAACUGCUUUAUGUGCGAAGAAUAUGACGGUAACACAUGAAUAAGGGUCGGCUAACUACGUG
rnacentral:rRNA from 1 species